GGCAUGACUUCUGGGCUGUCAGGUGAACAAGGCCUGAAGACCUCAUGUAAAAACUGGUGACUGGAGCUGCUAACUCCGUACUGUGACUCUACACUGUACGAUUGAUCUUUGCUGGGAGUAGAGCUUCAGUGUUCUUGCACACGGAAAGAUAGGUGAGGUGAUGAUGUGCUAGUCGGUCAGGCGGGGGAGUGGGGAGCCCUUCUGGCGUGAGUCUGUGUAUCCCAUCAGCGCAGCACACUCUUUAAAUAUCUUGUCCGUUCUGCCUCGACAAAGCUGAACAAACCCCCCACAUCGAGUGGAGGUUUCGGGGGGAUGCUGGUGUGUGCAGCCUGGGAUGGGUUUGCACCUGCCUGGUUGGUACAAAGCCCCCCUGCGCCCUGGCUGGAGGUGCAGGGCCCUCAGAGAGAGCCACCUGGCUGCCUGAAGGGCUGGUUGGCCACAGGGGCCCCACGCUGAUGGACGAGUUCAGGGAGACAGGCUGUAGUCAAUCCGAAGCAACUUGGGGCCUGAUUUGAAAUUCAAAUCCUGGCUAAACAGAAAAUUAAUAUGAAUUUCGUAUUCUGUGAUUCUCACAGACUGAGCUGCGUGUGUGCCAGGCCGGCCUGGGGCGCUGCGGGCUUCAUGGCGUGGGACCUCCGGCUGCCUCUCCGCCCCGCCCCACCGCAGCCCCACGCCCCAGAACCGAGGGUGCUGGAGGAGAACAGCUGCUCUCUCCAGAUGUUUCUCCUGCAGGGAAAUGACAAAACAGAACAGAGAAAUGACUGGGGCCAGCCUCCCCUGGCAGAGCAAUUUGUUAUUGGGCAGCCACAGGGAACUCAUCUGAGGACCCGCCUAGGCAACCUGUCCUGGCAAACCUGCCUUGUUUUCAGUUAGGACUACAAAGGGCUGAUCCUGGACGUGAUGGCGAGCCAGAAGCAAACCCUGUGGAUACUGCACAUCACCUUCACAUAAUCUGAACCCCUGAAACUAUGGGGAGGCCGUUUGGGACUCCCAGUACCCUGGACAGCCGGCAGACACAGAUGUGAAUCCUUUCUGGACAGAGGUAACAUCAUCCUAAACUUCUAGGUUAUAAAUCCGGUGUUUAUGCACAAGAACAGAUUACUAGGCACACAAGGAGUCAGGGUAACAUGAAAGCUCUGCUGGAACCACAGGCCAUGGACACAGCCACCCAGGACACCCAGCCACGGAGCUAAGAGAUGAGAAUUUUGAGGUGACUGUUUUCCGUGCUCAAUGGGAUUAGAAGCCAGGAUGGAGAGUUUCACUGAAGAACUGGGAGCUGUGAAAAGCAGUGAAUUGGAAAUCAUGGAACUCAGAAGUACAAUAAGUAAAAUUAGGAGCCCAUUGGGUGGGUCUGUCAGCAGGUGGAUGCAGCCAAAGAGAGAAUUGGUGACUUGGAAGAAGGAUCCAAAGAAAAGAAUCAGAGGGAAGUGCAGGGUCAAAGGAUAGAAAACACCGGAAAGAAGGUAAGAAGCAUAGAAGGUGGGAUACAGUUGGACCUCUAGUGCACAGGCGAUUGGGGUUCUAGGAGAAAAGGCAGGGAGAUGGGCCAGAAACAAUAUUGAAGAAAUAAUGGCUGGGAUCUGUGGCGAGACUGCCUUCGUUUGCUGGGCCCAUUGUAACAAAAUUCCACAGCUGGCUUGGCGUAAACAACCGAAAUCUACUUUAUCGUGGCUCUGGAGCCAGAAGUCUGAGAUCAAGUCUGUUGGCGGGUUUGGUCUCUCCUGGGGCCCUCCUCCUUGGCUUGCAGGGGGUGGCUUCUCGCUGUGUCCUCACAUGGCCUCUGUGCAUACACAUCUCCUCUGAGAGGGACAUCAGAUUGGGGCACCUGAGGGAGUCAGUGGGUGAAGCAUCUGUCUUUGGCUCAGGUCAUGAUCCCAGGGUCCUGGAAUUGAGCCCCGUCAGGCUCCCUGCUCCCUGGAGAGCCUGCUUGUCCCUCCCCUCUCUGUCUCUUAUGAAUAAAUAAAUGAAAUCUUAAAAAAUAAUAAUUAAAAAAGGGACAUUAGAAUGGAUAGGGCCUACCCCAAAGCAUCAAUUUAACCUAAUCACCUGUUUAAAGAUACCACCUCUGAAUAGUCACAUCCAGAGGUGCUGGGAGUUAGAGCUUCAACACAUACGUUUUUGGGGAAGUGGAGUAGGGGAGGGACACCGUUCAGGGCAUAGCAAAGAUAGUAAGCCAUAGAUUCAGGAAUCUCCGGGGACCCAGAGCAGGACAAAUAAAACCACAUCUCUCUACCCCACACCAAAACGGCCAAAUAAAGAUACAGGGCACCCCUCAAGCCAGCCAGAAAUAAAAGAUGGUUUGCCUUCAGGGGAGCAACCCCUGGAGCAUGAACUGACCUCUCAGCAGAAACGAUGGAAGCCAGGAGAAAGUGAACACUCGUUCCUUAACGAGCAGGAAGAAGGAAAUGCCAGCCUGGACUCCUCCAUCAAGGAUGUCUUUCCAAUUUCAGGCCGAAGUCUGUAUAGCAGCCUGGAUCCUGGAGGGUUCGACAGGAUGUGUGACGUGAAGGACCUACAAACCCCGGUGAGUGACUGUGAUGUGUAAGGGCUCCACGUGGUACCUGAGGGCUGGGAGAGAAAAGGCAAGCAAGAGCGAGCUUGGAGAGGACCUCCAGGUGGGGUUCGGACCUUAGUGCAGAAGGUACGGUCCAGCCCUCUGGACAGUGGAGAAGCUUGCUGGGUUUCCCAGACGGGAGCUGGUCUACAGUCCUCGGGCAGGCGGCCACCCUCCAGUGUGCAGUCAGGGCACAGUGAUCGGCAGUAGGGGGGUGGGUGGCGGUCCAGAGAGGGUAUGUGUGUGUGUGUGUAGGGGGGUCUGGGGUGCAGGUGUGCCACACGGGGGCUUGUAGAGGAUCCACAGUGGCCUGGUGGGAACCCUUGGAAGAAAACAGGUCAGCGGCUUCCAGGGAGAAGAGGGGAUGGGGAGGAGGGAGAGACCCGUAUACAGG
rnacentral:lncRNA from 1 species